GGGGAUUUGGUGUAACGGAAACAUACGACUCUUGCAAGGUUGUGAUAGGGGUUCAACUCCCCUAAUCUCCA
rnacentral:tRNA from 1 species